GGCUCAGGACGAACGCUGGCGGCGUGCUUAACACAUGCAAGUCGAACGAUGAUCCGGUGCUUGCACCGGGGAUUAGUGGCGAACGGGUGAGUAACACGUGAGUAACCUGCCCUUGACUCUGGGAUAAGCCUGGGAAACCGGGUCUAAUACCGGAUACGACCUGUCACCGCAUGGUGGUGGGUGGAAAGAUUUUUUGGUUUUGGAUGGACUCGCGGCCUAUCAGCUUGUUGGUGAGGUAAUGGCUCACCAAGGCGACGACGGGUAGCCGGCCUGAGAGGGUGACCGGCCACACUGGGACUGAGACACGGCCCAGACUCCUACGGGAGGCAGCAGUGGGGAAUAUUGCACAAUGGGCGAAAGCCUGAUGCAGCGACGCCGCGUGAGGGAUGACGGCCUUCGGGUUGUAAACCUCUUCAGCAGGGAAGAAGCGAAAG
rnacentral:rRNA from 1 species